AUUGAACGCUGGCGGCAUGCCUUACACAUGCAAGUCGAACGGCAGCACGGGAGCAAUCCUGGUGGCGAGUGGCGAACGGGUGAGUGAUAUAUCGGAACGUGCCCAGUCGUGGGGGAUAACGUAGCGAAAGCUACGCUAAUACCGCAUACGAUCUAUGGAUGAAAGCGGGGGAUCGCAAGACCUCGCGCGAUUGGAGCGGCCGAUAUCAGAUUAGGUAGUUGGUGAGGGAAAGGCUCACCAAGCCGACGAUCUGUAGCUGGUCUGAGAGGACGACCGGCCACACUGGGACUGGGACACGGCCCAGACUCCUACGGGAGGCAGCAGUGGGGAAUUUUGGACAAUAGGCGCAAGCCUGAUCCAGCAAUGCCGCGUGCAGGAUGAAGGCCUUCGGGUUGUAAACUGCUUUUGUACGGAACGAAACGGUGAGCUCUAAUACAGUUUGCUAAUGACGGUACCGUAAGAAUAAGCACCGGCUAACUACGUGCCAGCCGCCGCAGUAA
rnacentral:rRNA from 1 species